rnacentral:rRNA from 1 species
CCUACGGGAGGCAGCAGUGGGGAAUAUUGCGCAAUGGGCGAAAGCCUGACGCAGCGACGCCGCGUGAGGGAUGAAGGUCUUCGGAUCGUAAACCUCUGUCAGCAGGGAAGAACGGUCACUGUGCUAAUCAGCAGUGAAUUGACGGUACCUGCAAAGGAAGCACCGGCUAACUCCGUGCCAGCAGCCGCGGUAAUACGGAGGGUGCGAGCGUUAACCGGAUUUACUGGGCGUAAAGCGCUCGUAGGCGGUAUGUCAAGUCAAGGGUGAAAUCCCCGCGCUCAACGUGGGAACUGCCUUUGAAACUGGCAAACUGGAGUGUGUGAGAGGAUAGUGGAAGUCCAGGUGUAGGGGUGAAAUCCGUAGAUAUCUGGAGGAACAUCAGUGGCGAAGGCGACUAUCUGGAACAUAACUGACGCUGAGGAGCGAAAGCGUGGGUAGCAAACAGGAUUAGAUACCCCUGUAGUC